rfam:Trichobilharzia regenti genome assembly, scaffold: TRE_scaffold0002239
GUACCGAUGAAGAGUCUCAAACUAGGACGAAACAGCUGUCCAGUAC